GAACGCUGGCGGCGUGCUUAACACAUGCAAGUCGAACGGAAAGGCCCUGCUUUUGUGGGGUGCUCGAGUGGCGAACGGGUGAGUAACACGUGAGUAACCUGCCCUUGACUUUGGGAUAACUUCAGGAAACUGGGGCUAAUACCGGAUAGGAGCUCCUGCUGCAUGGUGGGGGUUGGAAAGUUUCGGCGGUUGGGGAUGGACUCGCGGCUUAUCAGCUUGUUGGUGGGGUAGUGGCUUACCAAGGCUUUGACGGGUAGCCGGCCUGAGAGGGUGACCGGCCACAUUGGGACUGAGAUACGGCCCAGACUCCUACGGGAGGCAGCAGUGGGGAAUAUUGCACAAUGGGCGGAAGCCUGAUGCAGCAACGCCGCGUGCUGGAUGACGGCCUUCGGGUUGUAAACCGCUUUCGCCUGUGACGAAGCGUGAGUGACGGUAAUGGGUAAAGAAGCACCGGCUAACUACGUG
rnacentral:rRNA from 1 species